AACGAACGCUGGCGGCAGGCUUAACACAUGCAAGUCGAACGCCCCGCAAGGGGAGUGGCAGACGGGUGAGUAACACGUGGGAACGUGCCCUUCGCUUCGGGAUAGCCUCGGGAAACUGGGAGUAAUACCGAAUACGCCGUAUUGGGAAAGAUAUAUCGGCGAAGGAUCGGCCCGCGUUGGAUUAGCUAGUUGGCGGUGUAAUGGACCACCAAGGCUACGAUCCAUAGCUGGUCUGAGAGGACGACCAGCCACACUGGGACUGAGACACGGCCCAGACUCCUACGGGAGGCAGCAGUGGGGAAUCUUGGACAAUGGGCGCAAGCCUGAUCCAGCCAUGCCGCGUGAGUGAAGAAGGCCUUAGGGUUGUAAAACUCUUUCGCCGGUGAAGAUAAUGACGGUAACCGGAGAAGAAGCCCGGCUAACUUCGUGCCAGCAGCCGCGGUAAU
rnacentral:rRNA from 1 species